rnacentral:lncRNA from 1 species
AUUUUUUUUAGAAUUUUAUUAUGUUAAAGGAUGAAGGGAAGGGAGAUCGGGACUUUUCUUUUCUGUUUUUGUUUAUUUAGAAAAAUUUUAUAAUUUGAAGGUAAGUUUUAUUUAACAAUGAUCUAGUGGAGCUUGGACAUCAGAAAAUUUAAUAGUGCUUUUCGAAAGUGUAGAUUUGAUUCCUUAAUUUCAUAUGCGGUGAUGAUUUCAAGUAAAAAUAGGGAUCUCGGUUGCCAGUGAUUUAUGCAGUAACGGGCCCAAAUUAGUUAUGUAAGUCUUUAUGUUGGUUACGGUAGGACGAUAACGGGGUCAAAUUGGUUAUGCAACCAACGGGUGGAUUAUCUGGGAUUUCCUGAGUCAACGGGAUAUUUGAAGGUCCAUUGGAAUUCCAGUUGAAUAGCACGAGUGAGAUUAUCAAUAUCAGUAGUGCCUGAGCUACAAAUAUUAGUACCGAGAAACUUGCUCGUGUUGUCAUUAAAAAUGGUCUUUUUCAAAUUGUAAUACACAAUGUUGUCGGUCUUGAACAAAAUCAAAUUCAUCGUUUAUUUAUGUUUUAUUAGUAUUGAAAAACUUGUUCAUGUUUAACGUUUAUGUUUCGUUGUAUUUAUUAUGUUUAAAUUUUCAAUCUUCUUUAUUUUAA